GUGUCCUACGGGGGGCAGCAGUAGGGAAACUUCCACAAUGGGAGAAAGCCUGAUGGAGCAACGCCGCGUGGGUGAAGAAGGUCUUCGGAUCGUAAAACCCUGUUGUUAGAGAAGAAAGUGCGUGAGAGUAACUGUUCACGUUUCGACGGUAUCUAACCAGAAAGCCACGGCUAACUACGUGCCAGCAGCCGCGGUAAUACGUAGGUGGCAAGCGUUAUCCGGAUUUAUUGGGCGUAAAGGGAACGCAGGCGGUCUUUUAAGUUUGAUAUGAAACCUUUCGGCUUAACCGGAGUAGUG
rnacentral:rRNA from 1 species